rnacentral:rRNA from 1 species
GACGAACGCUGGCGGCGUGCCUAAUACAUGCAAGUUGAGCGCUGAAGGUUGGUACUUGUACCAACUGGAUGAGCAGCGAACGGGUGAGUAACGCGUGGGGAAUCUGCCUUUGAGUGGGGGACAACAUUUGGAAACGAAUGCUAAUACCGCAUAAAACCUUUAAACACAAGUUUUAAGUUUGAAAGAUGCAAUUGCAUCACUCAAAGAUGAUCCCGCGUUGUAUUAGCUAGUUGGUGAGGUAAAGGCUCACCAAGGCGAUGAUACAUAGCCGACCUGAGAGGGUGAUCGGCCACAUUGGGACUGAGACACGGCCCAAACUCCUACGGGAGGCAGCAGUAGGGAAUCUUCGGCAAUGGACGAAAGUCUGACCGAGCAACGCCGCGUGAGUGAAGAAGGUUUUCGGAUCGUAAAACUCUGUUGGUAGAGAAGAACGUUUGUGAGAGUGGAAAGCUCAUCAAGUGACGGUAACUACCCAGAAAGGGACGGCUAACUACGUG